rnacentral:tRNA from 1 species
CGGGAUGUAGCGCAGCCUGGUAGCGCACCUGACUGGGGGUCAGGGGGUCGUGGGUUCGAAUCCCGCCAUCCCGACCA